rfam:Xiphophorus maculatus strain JP 163 A Contig231.34, whole genome shotgun sequence.
GUAGGUUAUGGAGACAUGUGUCCUAUCACACUUGGGGGGAAAGUGGUGGGCACACUGUGUGCAAUAGCUGGUGUGUUGACAAUUGCUUUGCCUGUUCCUGUCAUUGUCUCCAAC